GGGGCCAGGCCUCGGCUGCGCGGGGCGGGCUCCGAGGACGCAGCUUGCCCGGCUCUUGCGGCAGCACUCCCUGACGUCCUGGUGGAGAGGCGUUGAGGGCAGCGCCGCGAUAAUAAUAGCUCGUAUUUAUUGACCGCUUACACUGUGCCAGGCUCUGUGUUAAACCCUUUGCGCACAUCUGUCCUCGAGUCAGCCCUGUGAAGUCGCCACUACUAUUAUCCUCAUUUUUCAGAGGCAGAUGCUGAGAUUCAGAAUGGUAAAAAGACUUGCGUGUAGUCGCAAGGUGGUGAAACCAGACUGGAACCAGAUGUUUCCUGACACCCUAUCCCUGCUGAUGCUGAACAAAAAGCUGUGACACCAAGGCCUCGCAGAUGUCAAUAAAUCGCUCCCCGGUAGAAAUACAUAAGAGGACUAUUCUAAUACAUUCCCAGGAAGAGCAUAUAGAAUAAGAAGAGAAAAGGACUGAGACCCGAAUUCUGGGAAUGCCAGUAUCUGGGUAGCCAGCAGAGGAAAAGAAUGGCAGGAAGAAAACUGAGAAGAAACAGAGUAAGAGGAGAAUCAGGAGAGAGUAAUGUCAUGGAAGGAAUCCAAGGGAGGAAAGAUAUUCAAGGAGGAAGAAGUGGUCAACAGCAUCAGAUGCAGCAAAGAUUUCCAAUAAGGUUAAGACAAAAAAGUAUCCUUUGAAUUUGGUGACACGGAGGUGAUGAACAUCCAUGCUGUGAUCUGUAUCAGCAAAAAAUGGAGGCAGAAGACACAAUGCAAUGAGCUAAGUGAAUGAAAAUGAGGAAGAAUAAAUGGUAGAGAAUCGAACAUGGCUAUAUACUACAAAAAGAUAACAGUAGAGAAGAUGAAUUUUAAAGUAAAGAAAAAAAGAAGCUGAGAUAUGGAGCAAGAUCCUGAAGGUGAUGAGAGGAGUUAGGCUCUACCAAUGGGGACCUUCAUAUGAGGAAGAUAGGAAGAAGCAAGAAAUCUUUCUACUUUUGGCAGUUACGCUGGCAACAUCAACUUCUGAUGUUGCAGAAGUAGAGGAAGUCCCAGCAUCAUCAGCAAUACAAGCUCAUGCCAUAUCAGCAGAUAGUGCAAAUUGUGGAAUCCAGCUCCUUGAUAUUUGAGUCAAACCAUUUCUCCCUUUUGCUCCUCUAAACCAAUAUUAGGGGUAGUUUCCUGGUCUCUGGGUAGUCCUGUUUUUCCUCUUAAUGCUUCUCCAGACCUCUCCCACAACGUUGUAACAAAUUCUUCCUAAUAAAUACUUCCCUACUUGGAA